AGUCAAGAGCUAGGUUUUCAACGGCUUGGUGCGAUUCUCCUCCUCGAAUUCGCCGACUUUGAUUCAGGAUCUCAGCUCCCUCUUUGCCUCAGAUUCAAGUUUUGCUUAGUGGUGGAUUUUCCCAACUCAGAUCACGCUCUUCUCGAGUUCAGAUUAGCUAUGUCGACGAGGAGAUCGCGCCUCCCGAGGAGCCGCUCAGCCACUCAAUCACCUG